AUGAUCACCGCUGGAGCCAUCCUUUCUCUCGUGAUGAUCAUCUUCUUCUCCACCGUCUGCAACUCCGACCCGGACCUCCUCUUCGACUACUGCGUCGCCGACACGACGUCUGCCGCCGCGUCGUUCCACUUCAACGGCCUGCCGUGCAUCGACCCGGCGACGGCGUGCGCCGACCACUUCGCGACCUCGGCGCUCUCCGAGCCCACGGACCCGUCCGCCACGCUCUUCGGCUUCAACGCGACGAUGACCAGCCCGGCCGCGUCCCUCCCGGGCGCGAACGCGCAGGGGCUCGCCAUGGCGCGCGUCGACCUCGCGCCCGGCGGCAUGGCGCCGCUGCACUCCCACCCGCGCGCGUCGGAGGUGGCGCUCGUGAUCUCCGGCGGCGUGCUGGUGGGGUUCGCCGACACGUCGUACCGGCUGUACACGCAGCGGCUGCGCGCCGGCGAGGCCUUCGUGUUCCCGAGGGGCAUGGUGCACUUCAUGCGCAACGAGGACGCCUCGUCCCCCGCCGUCGUGCUGUCCGGGCUCAACAGCCAGAACCCCGGCGCGCAGCUCGUGCCCUUCUCGGCGUUCCUGACGGAGCCGCGGCUGCCCGACGAGGUCGUCAAGAAGACGUUCAGGAUCACCGGGCAGGGCGUGCAGAGGAUCCAAAGGAGCCUCGGUGGGUCGUAG
rnacentral:rRNA from 1 species